rnacentral:rRNA from 1 species
AUGGCUCAGGAUGAACGCUAGCGGCAGGCUUAACACAUGCAAGUCGAGGGGCAGCGAGAGUGAUAGCAAUAUUACUUGUCGGCGACCGGCGCACGGGUGCGUAACGCGUAUGCAACCUACCAUCAACAGGGGGAUAACACUGAGAAAUUGGUACUAAUACCCCAUAAUAUCUCAUGCGGCAUCGCAUGGGGUUGAAAACUCCGGUGGUUGAUGAUGGGCAUGCGUUGUAUUAGCUGGUUGGUGAGGUAACGGCUCACCAAGGCGACGAUACAUAGGGGGACUGAGAGGUUAACCCCCCACAUUGGUACUGAGACACGGACCAAACUCCUACGGGAGGCAGCAGUGAGGAAUAUUGGUCAAUGGACGCAAGUCUGAACCAGCCAUGCCGCGUGCAGGAUGACGGCUCUAUGAGUUGUAAACUGCUUUUGUACGAGGGUAAACCCCGAUACGUGUAUCGGGUUGAAAGUAUCGUACGAAUAAGGAUCGGCUAACUCCGUGCCAGCAGCCGCGGUAAUACGGAGGAUCCGAGCGUUAUCCGGAUUUAUUGGGUUUAAAGGGUGCGUAGGCGGUUUGAUAAGUUAGAGGUGAAAUGUCGGGGCUCAACCCCGAAACUGCCUCUAAUACUGUUGGACUAGAGAAUAGUUGCGGUAGGCGGAAUGUAUGGUGUAGCGGUGAAAUGCUUAGAGAUCAUACAGAACACCGAUUGCGAAGGCAGCUUACCAAACUAUAUCUGACGUUGAGGCACGAAAGCGUGGGUAGCAAACAGGAUUAGAUACCCUGGUAGUCCACGCAGUAAACGAUGAUAACUCGUUGUCGGCGAUACACAGUCGGUGACUAAGCGAAAGCGAUAAGUUAUCCACCUGGGGAGUACGUUCGCAAGAAUGAAACUCAAAGGAAUUGACGGGGGCCCGCACAAGCGGAGGAACAUGUGGUUUAAUUCGAUGAUACGCGAGGAACCUUACCCGGGCUUGAAAGUUAGCGACGACGCUUGAAAGAGCGUUUCCCUUCGGGGCGCGAAACUAGGUGCUGCAUGGUUGUCGUCAGCUCGUGCCGUGAGGUGUCGGGUUAAGUCCCAUAACGAGCGCAACCCCUACUGUUAGUUGCCAUCAGGUGAUGCUGGGCACUCUAGCGGGACUGCCGGUGUAAGCCGAGAGGAAGGCGGGGAUGACGUCAAAUCAGCACGGCCCUUACGUCCGGGGCCACACACGUGUUACAAUGGUAGGUACAGAGGGCAGCUACCCUGCGAAGGGGUGCGAAUCUCGAAAGCCUAUCUCAGUUCGGAUUGGAGGCUGAAACCCGCCUCCAUGAAGUUGGAUUCGCUAGUAAUCGCGCAUCAGCCAUGGCGCGGUGAAUACGUUCCCGGGCCUUGUACACACCGCCCGUCAAGCCAUGGGAGCUGGGGGUGCCUGAAGUUCGUGACCGCAAGGAGCGACCUAGGGCAAAACCGGUGACUGGGGCUAAGUCGUAACAAGGUA